CCACAGUAAUCCUGCUCAGUACGAGAGGAACCUCAGAUUCAGACAUUUGGUUCAUGUGCUUGGCUGAUAAGCCAAUGGUGCGAAGCUACCAUCUGAGGGAUUAUGACUGAACGCCUCUAAGUCAGAAUCCCGCCUGGAAAGCGACGAUGCAUUCGUGCCUCGGCCUCGAGAGGCGUAGCUAGACGGCCGCGUGGCCGUGGAAAGAGCCCGAUUCCGACCCGAGAGGCCGCGGCAAGAGGCGGCCUCGAAGUCGGUGGAUCCUCCUGCUCGAAAGGCGGGGUGCUAAACCAUUCGCAGACGACCUAGUUGAAGAUCGGGGUGUCGUGAUCACUAGAGCAGUACAUCUCACUGCGAUUUGUUGAGAGUAAGCCUCAAGAUCUGUCGGUUUGU
rnacentral:ncRNA from 1 species